UUCUCCUCAGGGUAAUUGUGGCGGGACCUCAGGCGAGAAUCGGCUGAGGCGAGGCGUUUUUCCUUUCUUUCUCCCUUUGUUUUUGCUUUUUUUUAUUUCACGGAUGUUUUCCCCAUUGUGGUUCGAAUUAAGUCACAUAAAUUAAAUAUUAAACGCACAUCAGAAAAAUAUUCAUUUAAAGGUUCACAUUAAUAUCCUUGUCACAUCGCUGGAGCAACGACAGAAAUCUGAGGAAACAGACAAACCAGGACAGAAUGUAAAUAAGAUCCUGGGGAAUGUACUGGGAGAACGGCAUCACGGGGUGAACACCGGCAGCCGGGGUCGCCAUCCAUCACAGCGACUUGGGCCCGGUGCGGUGGACAAGCUCAGCGCAGGCCAAGAAACCUGAGCCACUACAAGACAAACACAUGCUCCCUCCAAAAUAACAAUGGGCUCCAGUGACACACGCUGUCAGAGCUUCACUGCAGGCUCACGACACCUGACAUUGUUAUAUUAAGCGUAUAGUGUUACCAGACCCACAGUUAGAACAGACGAAAGAACAAAUGCCAAAGAUAAUCGCAAGUGGCAACUUUAGGACACAAUACUCUGGUCUUUUUAGGCAUUAGGCUUGCGAUACAGAAACUUAGAAGAGUUACAAAUAAGGACAUUGAGAGCAGUCUAAAUAUAGGUCAGUUUGGGUGACAAGGCACUGAAUAUUUUACACUUCACCUUAUUUAGCCUUUAUGAAAUAUGACGUAAAGGAUACUGUUGUGAAUAAAAAGUCUCUUUGGUGAGGACAUUUUUUUGCCUGUCGAUUACAAGACCACAGACCGAUGUAAAUGUGUCCGUCCAGUGCUAGAUGAGUUCAUUUUGACACAUCACAAACCCUCAGAUGAACACAUCCAUACCCAGUGCUGGGUAGUAACUGAUUAAUCUACCUGAUCCAAAAAUGAAAUACUAGUUGUAAUUGGAUUAUAUUA